rnacentral:rRNA from 1 species
ACGGAGGGUGCGAGCGUUAUUCGGAAUUACUGGGCGUAAAGCGCGUGUAGGCGGGGGAGCAAGUCUGAUGUGAAAGCCCCGGGCUUAACCCGGGAAGUGCAUUGGAAACUGUUUUUCUUGAGUACUGGAGAGGAAGGGGGAAUUCCCGGUGUAGAGGUGAAAUUCGUAGAGAUCGGGAGGAAUACCAGUGGCGAAGGCGCCCUUCUGGACGGUUACUGACGCUGAGACGCGAAAGCGUGGGGAGCAAACAG